CGCGGGAAUUCGAUUAGAGUUUGAUCAUGGCUCAGAUUGAACGCUGGCGGCAUGCCUUACACAUGCAAGUCGAACGGCAGCACGGAGCAAUCCUGGUGGCGAGUGGCGAACGGGUGAGUAAUGCAUCGGAACGUGUCCUCUUGUGGGGGAUAACCAGUCGAAAGACUGGCUAAUACCGCAUGAGAUCGAGAGAUGAAAGCAAGGGACCGCAAGGCCUUGCGCGAGAGGAGCGGCCGAUGCCGGAUUAGCUAGUUGGUGGGGUAACGGCCUACCAAGGCGACGAUCCGUAGCUGGUCUGAGAGGACGACCAGCCACACUGGGACUGAGACACGGCCCAGACUCCUACGGGAGGCAGCAGUGGGGAAUUUUGGACAAUGGGGGCAACCCUGAUCCAGCCAUGCCGCGUGUGUGAAGAAGGCCUUCGGGUUGUAAAGCACUUUCGGACGGAACGAAAUCGCGCGAGUUAAUAGUUCGCGUGGAUGACGGUACCGUAAGAAGAAGCACCGGCUAACUACGUGCCAGCAGCCGCGGUAAUACGAAUCACUAGUGAAUUCCGGCCGCCUGCAGGUCGACCAUAUGGGAGAGCUCCCAACGC
rnacentral:rRNA from 1 species